rnacentral:rRNA from 1 species
UACGUAGGGUGCGAGCGUUGUCCGGAUUUAUUGGGCGUAAAGGGCUCGUAGGCGGUUUGUCGCGUCGGAAGUGAAAGCCCACUGCUUAACGGUGGGUCUGCUUUCGGUACGGGCAGACUGGAGUGUGGCAGGGGAGACUGGAAUUCCUGGUGUAGCGGUGAAAUGCGCAGAUAUCAGGAAGAACACCCGUGGCUAAGGCGGCUCUCUAGUACGGUACUGACGCUGAGACGCGAAAGCGUGGGGAGCGAACAGG